AUGUCAAGUUUUUCAAGUGCUGUGAAGAUUGAUUUAGAGAAAUUUGAUGGAAGAAUCAAUUUUGCCAAAGAACUUUGGGAGAAACUUGAAGGGCUAUAUAAAAGAAAGAGUAUAUCAAAUCAUUUAUUGUUGAAGGAGCAGUUUCAUAGCAUGCAUAUGGAUGAACAUAUAAAAGUAUCUUAUCAUCUAAGUGUUCUAAAUGAUAUUGUUUCCGAAUUAGAAACUAUUGGAGUCAAGAUUGAUGAUGAAGAUAAAGCUUUGAGACCCAUAUGA